AAACUGCUGAAUUUCUCUUGCAGGGAAAGGAGGCUUCGAGUUGAAGGCACCGAGCAUUGUGAGACUUCCAAUCCAGCAUGAACAAAAUCCCUGGGCUGUAUGAAGAUCCAGUGGUUGUCGCUAAACGGCAGGAACAGCAGUACCACCUCCUCUCGCAGCUGCAGAAUCUAGUCAAAGACUUGUCAAGCUCGUGUCAGCAGCGAUUGUCGUAUGACAUACUGAGCAACCUGGCCUUGGCCUUGAUCGAUGGUACUGUCUUUGAGAUCGUGCAGGGUUUGCUUGAGAUUCAACAUCUGACUGAGAAGAAUCUGUACAACCAACGCCUGAAGCUGCACAGUGAGCACAGAGCCCUUAAACAGGAGCUCUUGAGAAAACACAAGGAGGCAAUUCAGGGCUGCAAGGCUCACAAUCUAACUGUUCUACGAGCCACACAGCAAAGGGAGCUGGAGGCCUUGGAGCAGAGGGUUAAGGAUGAACAAAGGAUGAUGGAUGAGAAGAUAGUCUUGGAGUUGGAUCAGAAAGUGAUUGAUCAACAAAACACGCUGGAGAAAGCUGGAGUUCCAGGAUUUUAUAUUACCACAAAUCCUCAGCUUGCCUAUUCAGAGACCUAACUUCACAGGCUCAUGCGGCAGGGAAACAGGCCCUUCGGCCCACCGAGUUGAUGCCGACCAUCGAUCAUCCGUUCACACAGCAUAAUCAAGGACUAGUCGCACCCCGGUCACUCCCUCUUCUCCCCUCUCCCAUCGGGCAAAAGGAGCUGACUUUACAGAUGAAUUUGCUGGAACUGAUCCUAAAAAUGCAACAGAAAGCAUCGGAGUCGGGGAUAUGCUGAUCUAGUGGCGGGUUCCAUUUGGAUAAGAUCCAAGUUAGGCCUCAAUUUGAAUAAGGC